rnacentral:rRNA from 1 species
UGGGGAAUAUUGGACAAUGGGCGCAAGCCUGAUCCAGCCAUGCCGCGUGAGUGACGAAGGCCUUAGGGUUGUAAAGCUCUUUUGGCGGGGAAGAUAAUGACGGUACCCGCAGAAUAAGCUCCGGCUAACUUCGUGCCAGCAGCCGCGGUAAUACGAAGGGAGCUAGCGUUGUUCGGAAUCACUGGGCGUAAAGCGCACGUAGGCGGAUAGUUAAGUCAGGGGUGAAAUCCUGGGGCUCAACCCCAGAACUGCCUUUGAUACUGGCUGUCUCGAGGUCGAGAGAGGUUGGUGGAAUUCCUAGUGUAGAGGUGAAAUUCGUAGAUAUUAGGAAGAACACCAGUGGCGAAGGCGGCCAACUGGCUCGAUACUGACGCUGAGGUGCGAAAGCGUGGGGAGCAAACAGGAUUAGAUACCCAGGUAGUCCCUGAGCGGGCUGGCAAGGCGCAU